rnacentral:rRNA from 1 species
GAUGAACGCUGGCGGCGUGCCUAAUACAUGCAAGUCGAGCGAACAGACGAGGAGCUUGCUCCUCUGACGUUAGCGGCGGACGGGUGAGUAACACGUGGAUAACCUACCUAUAAGACUGGGAUAACUUCGGGAAACCGGAGCUAAUACCGGAUAACAUGUUGAACCGCAUGGUUCAACAGUGAAAGACGGUCCUGCUGUCACUUAUAGAUGGAUCCGCGCCGCAUUAGCUAGUUGGUAAGGUAACGGCUUACCAAGGCAACGAUGCGUAGCCGACCUGAGAGGGUGAUCGGCCACACUGGAACUGAGACACGGUCCAGACUCCUACGGGAGGCAGCAGUAGGGAAUCUUCCGCAAUGGGCGAAAGCCUGACGGAGCAACGCCGCGUGAGUGAAGAAGGUCUUCGGAUCGUAAAACUCUGUUAUUAGGGAAGAACAAAUGUGUAAGUAACUAUGCACGUCUUGACGGUACCUAAUCAGAAAGCCACGGCUAACUACGUG